AACCACCUUUACCCGUGGGUGGAAAAACCAGGAGGGGGCUGUGCAAAAAAAAGGAAGAAAAAAAAAAAAAAGGAGGAGGAGGCAGAGCGAAAAACCGAAAAACCCAGCGACCGGGGGCUGGCGGCCGGCCAGAUAAAACAUGAGCAGCGCGGCGGCCGGGGCAGCGGCGGCAGCGCGCGCCGCCGCCGCCUCACGUGUCCCGCCGCACCGCACCGCACCGGCCCCGCCGCCGCGGCAGGUUUAAAGGGCCAGGCCGGGGUCCCGGCGCCCCGGCUCGCGCUCCCCACCCAGCGCCGCGGGGAGGGGGGGGGAGGGGGGAGGGCUCGGCACCCCCACGCACACCCCGCGGCCGCCGUGCGGGGCCGCCCCGCCGCCGCUGCACGUGGGCGCCCCGCCGCCGAGCGGAACAAAGGCGGCCGGGCCGGGCCGGGCCGAGCCGGGCUGGGGCGGGCUUGGCCGGGCCGGGGCCGCCCCUGGGCCGGGCCCGCCCGGGCGCCACCCGCGCUCCGGCCGCGGGCAGCCGCCGGGAAAGGCGGCCCCUUCGCCGCCGGUGCGGCCGCCGGGGAGGCGCUGCCGUUGCGGCCGCGGGGCCGCGCCGGCGGGACGGGCUGCGGCGGGCUCGGCGCCUGCAGGGACGGCAGCCGCCGGGGUAAGAGGCGGGUGGUGUAACCCAACAGCUUCGGGCCGGCGCUUUCCUGCCGCCGGGGUGACGGGCGCGGGGAACGACCUCUUCCGAAGAGCCCUGCCCCGACAUUGUUCCCACGAGCAGGGCUGGGCUGCGGUCUUAAAAUCUUCGCAAAGUCCUUCAGCGGCGCGUCCCACACAGCCUUCGCCCUCCUUUUGGUGUUUGGUCCUCUCCCGUGCAACCCGUGGCUAGGCGCCCCUUCGCUGUGGCACAAGGAGGUGGCCACAAAGGGCAGGGAGGACGCCGAUGUCUGUGCGUCCCCCACAGAAAACGCUCACACCUGGGCUCCAUGUGCGCGGCUUUGGCGUGUCCCCCAGCCCCACGCAUCCCUCGAGGUCUUGGGCUCUGGCUGAGAGAGAGCCACCCCUAUAACCGUCUCCUCACAUCCCUACUCCCCUCCUCAGGGGUGGACAAACACAAGAGAGCCCUUAGGAGGAAACGAAAAGUUUCUUUGUCAUAUAUAAUGCUGAAGAAGGCAGAGAUACAGCUGCAACGUUUCUUGCACUGGCUGUCUAAAUGCAUACAGUUUAUACCUUGAUACCUUAUAAAUUCAUAGAAUCAUAUAUAAAUUCUUAGCUGUCUAUAGAUAAAUAAACAUAAUCAGGCAAGAAGUUACUCCAGUCAAACAUAUGCAAUCAUCCACGAGCAAAGACUGUGCUGAGGAGACAGCUGAGUUAUUUUCUGUGGAAUAGGAAAAGUACACUGCAGACAGAUGGGCUAAAGAAAGAGUAAUCCUAGAACACUUCUUAAGGCUGAAAAUAUUCCCAAAGUGUUCUUAAUCCAAUCACGAGCCUCCCAAAGCCUGCUUCCCUCCCAUCCCCAAAAGCAACCAGCUAUGGAAGAUGGACACAGUCCACCUGUUAGAUCUUGUAGCUAUCAGAAAAGUCUCAUAGUCCCAACUAUGCUUUGUAAAAUAUUCAGUUCCCAUCACACCAUGAAGGAAUCUUCAGGGCCAUACACCCCUUCUCUACAUCAAAAGAUUAAGCUGCUCUGUGAGAUCAGGAUUCCAAGCGGAGAUUGUAAAGUAUAUAGUUUAAAGUAUAGCAGCAAACAACUUUUAUAACACCCGUUAAUCUCUUUGAAGCAUAUUCACAUAUCCGUUUCUCUGGAAGAAAUUGGUACAUGGUAAAACCCUGUAGCUCCAAAACUGCUGUCUCCACAGAUUCAUCCUAUAUGGGCUAUUAAUAGUUCCAUUAGUCUUCCCUUCAGUAGUUCUAGUAGCGAUACCAUAGUCCAAAGAUUUUUUUACAUACAGCCAUAAGCAAAUAAUCUUCCCAUGGGAGCAAUGUUCCCAAACUCACUGUUUGAAAGCCGUUCCGGACAAGAAAGGCCUUGGCGCUUGCGCUGUGCCCAGCGCAGCAAAGUUUGGGGCUUUCCAGGGAUGUCUGCCUGCAGAUUCGCUAUCAUAACAAGAAUUAACGUAAGAGAUCUGAACAACUAUGGGUCCUUCAUUUAUUUCAAACUGUCUUGGUUCCCUCCUUAACCAAAAGAUCUUAGAUUAUAAACCAGUAUGAUAUUCCUGAUGGCAGCUGUCCAGGCUAAUCCAAAAACUUGUUCUUACAUCAUUUAUACCCAGGGCACUUUAACACAGGUAAGCAAUACAACAUCCAGAACCCAGAAAGCCCAGCUUCCUCAAGCGGCUGGCGGAAGCUGAGAAGCCAGAAACAGCUCUUGGUUUUGUUCCAGAUUCCUUCCCAAAAGAGAUGUGGCAACUGUUCCUUCCACUGUUCCAAUCCAUCCUCUGACAGUAUGGAUUAUUGCUCCAUCCAGUGCAAACAUCAGUGAAUAUAACUGUAUAAUUCAUUGAAGAGAAUACUGUAAAAUGACUGGAGUAGAGAUGACCUACCUUCCACCAGCUUUGGUCUGAGAUUUAAGCUUUGGACUAUCAACAGAAGUAUUAAUUAUCGGUGCUUUUAUUUCUUUCCUGGAAGCAUUCGUAACAGGGGAGGAAAUUUAUAAACCUAAGGCCUGGUUUCCACUCUCCAUGAGCCUACAAACUCAGGAAAUUUCCAAAGAAAUUAGAGGAACUUCCUACAAGAUUAAGAAGAAAAGAAUGAAAAGUAAGAUGGAGAUUUUGCUACCUAACCCAGAACACUUCUAAAGAGGCCAUUUGUUAUUCUGUAGUCAGUGUGAUGGCUUGUAGAGGGCUAACUGGCCUUGGUUUCCAGAGGGGAUCUUUUUAAAUCGUGCAGUCUAUCAGCAGCAAUAUUAUUUUGCAUCAGAAUACAGAACUCCAGCUUGCAGCAAAGUAUCUUUUCAAAAGACGUAAAAUUACAGGUUAAAUAGGCCUUGGAGAUCAUAAAUAGCAACAAGGAACCCCCUUCCCUUGCUCACUUCUUCAUCUACCUCCUUUCUCAAAAGCCUGUGGAUGCAGAAGAACUGCACCGUGUAAAUCAACAGGCUCGUGCUGUGCCCUGUCAUGGGGAGAUGUCACCUAUCAAUAGCAACCUAACAUAGCCCAUACAUAACGGUAACUCCCACCUGUGGAAGUCUGGGAGCUCAGAUGGUCUCAGCUGGCAGUGCAUUACACAAGGAGAGAACUCUUUUUUUUUCUUCCCCAAGCUGCUAAGUUUCCCUGAAGGUCUGCAACGCCAUCUGUGUGAUAAGUGUGUCACAGACUUUACAGUGCCUGCUCACCAGAUCCUUCGACCUGAAUCAUACGUGUUAGUCAACGGUCAACUACACGAAGAUGAAACUAAGGCGGCAGCUGAAAGUCCUUACUCAUUACACAAAAAGCUCAUUACCUGCUAAAGACCAUAGAGAGAAUGUACACAUGUAGGUGGCACCGAGUAUACGAGUUGCUAUGUGUACUCUUUCUAACCAAAACUUCACACGGAUCAAGAGAUGCCUAUGGUUUCCAGCUGGGCAUGCUGCAUCACUGACUGCAGCAGCAGCAGGAGGGGCGGCCUCUCCCCAGUUCCGCGAGCAGAACGGUGCAGGAGCGCUGUGCCCAGGCUCCCUGGCAGCGCUGGCUUCACUGCACGCCUGCACAGAGCUGUACCCAGGGAAGAAGGCUGCUGGGAACAGACUGCAGGCCUGAUAAAUUGUCCCGUCUGCCACGAAAGCCUGCACUCCAUAGGAUGAGCACCUGUUUCCUACGGCGCACAGUCAUCGUGCUCCCAAAGUGUUCUGUUUCUUUGAUAAUUAGAUUGCUUUUUGUCCAUUUUCCCUAUGUGCAUAUAUGGAGUACAAAGGAGGGUCCAGGGCUUAUAGCAGCAGUUGUGAGCUCAGGAAAUGGAGAUUCCUCCUUUCCCAUAGCCAAGCGUUCGUUCCUGUCUGACCUUGGGCAAACCACGUACACCCAGCUCCUUGGAGGUGUUCGGAUGCCUACCUCCCACCGAGCUGAGCAAGAAUGAAAACACUGUGCCCUAUCAGGAAAAGGCAGAUGUGAAUAUUCCCUAUCUUCCAGGGUCAUUAUGAAGAUGAAGACAUUUCUGGCCUACAGAAACUAGGGUAAUGGCAGUCAUUCAAAAAUCAUAUAUAUGAGAGAGAGUAGUACAAACACUGAGGAAAAGCUGCACGGUUACCUAAAGCAAAGAAACAUCUUUAAAUGUUUUUAGUUGUGACUCAGAAUUAGUAAAAAGAGGUUUAAAAAUAAAUCUUUGUACUUUAAGUUCUGUCUGAAAAUAUUCCUAGCCUUUUAUUUAUUUUUUUGAAUAAUGAUAUUAGUAAGAGUCCAUUAUAUAAUCACAAGAAAAUUAAAACUCUCCAGGGCAUGAUCUUAGCUGUGUAAUUAACCGGGGUGGUUAAAAGUACAAAGUGAACCUGAAGCAAAAUUUGUACCAGAACCACACCUCAUUAUGUUUUGCUGCCUGAGUCUGUCAUAAAUAGAGAUGUUUAUUACACAUCUGCCAUUUAAAGUAUGUAUUACAUGCAAUGCUAUAUUUUAUUUAGAUUUAAAAAUUUAAAAACACAUGAUGACAAGCUGUGUUACUGUUAACAUGUGCCUCAGGGACCAGAGGUGCACAUUCACAUUGUGCCUUAGGUUAAAUUACAAUUCAGCCACUCCAGAGUUACAAAUGGUUUACAGAAGUAUAUUGUGUAAUUAGUGUGCCUGAUUUCAGUCCAUGGAGUUUCACUGGUGUGAAAGAACAAUCAAACCCUGUAUAAUCCGUUCACAUUUAUUAGACCAAACUUUGUAGUCUGUCCUUAGAGCACCACUCCCUCGUCUGCUUUUAACAGCAAAUGGCACUUAAAUCUCCAGAGCUUCUCAAAGCAAAAGCAGUUAUUUUCUUUCCUUAUGAUUUUUUUUUUCUUCACAGCAGAAGUGAUUCAGUACUGACUCAAAUGUAUGGGCGGAAAGGGCAAGAGAUGGUGCACCAGUUAUGUGCUUAACUCUCUCUUCUUUGGGUUUGCUUUCCUGAACAGGCUGACCUCCUGGACUAGGUCCAGGGCUGGCUUUGAAGAAAUCUUUCACAGAAAAGCUUUUGCAGAAAAUAAUUCUGUCCCGGAUUUGCGUGGAAUGAAGUCCCUUUGCACGCAUAUGGGUUUUUUCCAGCAGACCCUAAGCAAUUCACUUGGCCAGUGAGGAGAAACAAAUACAGUUUCUUUGAUGCAAGAAUGAUGAAGAAAAAUGCCACCUACUAGUCAGCUUUUCUUUGUAAGCUUGUUAUCCAAAGUCAAUCUCUAUCACCAUUUCCUAGUUAUCAGAUCCAGUUAGUUGCACGUUAAGGUAGGACAAAUUUAAUGUAUCUUACACAUCUGAGAUAUAUAUCUGCAUAAUGAACACUCAUCGUUGUUUGUGAUGUUGUGGAUCGUGCUACUCGGAUCACUGGCAAAGGAAGUUAACCUUUAAUAUCAGCCCUAACAGUCUUUUCAGUAGCAUUUUUUAGUAUGUAUCAGCUGGCAGUCCUGACUGGUUUCUUAAAAGCUAAUGUAGCAAAUAUGAUUCUCCAAAAUGAGUCAAGCCCAUCCCUUCAGACCAAAUCCAGAGAACUAUAAAGUCCAGUGGCACCUUUAGCACCUAGUCGUUACCUGAGGAGUCUUCCAAAGCUUAGUCUAUGCUGGAUCAGUCAAUCUGCAAGACCUAGCAAGAGGGAAAGAGCUGAAAUGCUAGCAUUUCUGGCUCUAUAUUUCUUCUCAUCAAAUAUAAACAGCAGAACCUCCAAAAUUCCUCAAUACCACACUAUAAGCUAAAUCUGUACAUAAAAGACCUGGCAAAAACUGAACUCAAGCCAUCAAGUGUUAGAACAAGGGAUGCACUUAAAACAAUUUCCAAAACAGCAAUCAUCUCCACCAAGGAAUCCUCUCUCCUCAGGUUUUUAACUUAGUUCAGAAUUUUACGGUCACUUCAGACACCUAAAUCACUCCAGCAAAAGAAAAAAUUUCAAAUGCUAUCUGAGCUUAACAGGAAAAGCUAAAGAUGUCUCCACUGGCAGAAAAGCUGCAGUGGGAGCUCAGCAGUCCUCUUCCUAUUGUGUCUGUCACCACCCCUUUGAUGUAUGCUCAGGCUGGUCAGGCAAUAACCACGCAUAUAGCUUGGCAUCAGACACAGCAUAUAUUGUCUCUUGUCCAUUUGAUUGUCAGAAUCCUAGAGGGAGCUGGGUUAACCACACACCCAUCUGAAUGACAGAGGGUACUGAGGGAGGGGAGAAAGGAGUAGAGGACAGAAGAGGAAAGGGACUACAGCUGUGGUCAGGGAGAAAGGCAUAUCAAGCAUAAUACAGAAAAUUGUUCCAUUUAUCCCACUUAUGAGAACACUUGGAUUUAUUGGCAAUAUUUUUCAUGCACUUUUUUUCUUGCACUUUCGUAGUCUGGCUACCUUAGUACCACAGGUCUAACUAACAGCCCUGAUGGAAGGGAAAAAAACCAUAUAUUAAUACAUUAGAACCCUUUUAAUAUUAUCCAGAAUAGCUUUUCCAUGAAGCAUUUUGAUGCAUAGCAGUCCAAUGGCAGUUCUAGGGUCUAUUUCCAUGUGGUUGAGUAUAUAUAACAGCUAAUGCCUUAGAGAUUCUCAGCUAACAUGUGGAAUAAAAUUCUAUAUUACCUGACACAUUCAAAUGGAUACCAGAAAUUUAACAUAGACCCAGGCAGAGUAUUGUUUGUCCUACCCAUUAAAGGAUGAUAUUGCAUAUUUACGGAAAAAGAUAAGCACUUUGUUGUGGGAAGAGGGUGUUUACAGGGUACAGUUAACUGCUUGACUUUGGUCCACUUUCUGUACAGAACAUCCAGAAGCAAGCCACUCCGAACAAGAACCAGUAAAAUAUAUGCAACAUACACCACAUGUCUCUAGUUGUCUAAAUGUAUAGUCUAUAAAGAUACCUGUCCCAAUUAAAAUUUGAACUCUGA